ACGCUGGCGGCAGGCCUAACACAUGCAAGUCGAGCGGUAGAGAGAAGCUUGCUUCUCUUGAGAGCGGCGGACGGGUGAGUAAUGCCUAGGAAUCUGCCUGGUAGUGGGGGAUAACGUUCGGAAACGGACGCUAAUACCGCAUACGUCCUACGGGAGAAAGCAGGGGACCUUCGGGCCUUGCGCUAUCAGAUGAGCCUAGGUCGGAUUAGCUAGUUGGUGGGGUAAUGGCUCACCAAGGCGACGAUCCGUAACUGGUCUGAGAGGAUGAUCAGUCACACUGGAACUGAGACACGGUCCAGACUCCUACGGGAGGCAGCAGUGGGGAAUAUUGGACAAUGGGCGAAAGCCUGAUCCAGCCAUGCCGCGUGUGUGAAGAAGGUCUUCGGAUUGUAAAGCACUUUAAGUUGGGAGGAAGGGUUGUAGAUUAAUACUCUGCAAUUUUGACGUUACCGACAGAAUAAGCACCGGCUAACUCUGUGCCUGCAGCCGCGGUAAUACAGAGGGUGCAAGCGUUAAUCGGAAUUACUGGGCGUAAAGCGCGCGUAGGUGGUUAGUUAAGUUGGAUGUGAAAUCCCCGGGCUCAACCUGGGAACUGCAUUCAAAACUGACUGACUAGAGUAUGGUAGAGGGUGGUGGAAUUUCCUGUGUAGCGGUGAAAUGCGUAGAUAUAGGAAGGAACACCAGUGGCGAAGGCGACCACCUGGACUGAUACUGACACUGAGGUGCGAAAGCGUGGGGAGCAAAC
rnacentral:rRNA from 1 species